ensembl:lncRNA
AUGCCUGUGCUCUUUUCACUCCCCACUUGCUUCUCAGACUCUCAUGGCCUGGAGAAGAUCCUGAAACAAGGGAGGAUGAGCAGUGAUAUCUACCAAAUAUACCAAAAACAAGGAGAUGCCUGGAAUUUUCUUGCCAGAUUCUCCCUAAAUGAAGACUCCUCUGGCUCACCUUCCUGUGGUCACCCUGAGCAAGGCUCUGUUGCUGGUUUGCAGUCCCAGAGUCCCUCAUGCAGGCGGGCAUCCUCUAAGGGCAAGUUUUCACUGACAUCACCCUAACUCCCUGGAGUGGGGGACUUGAACAAGUGAAGUCACCUAUUGAGAGAAACCCUGGAAGUUUAGCGUCUCUUGUCCCGCAGCGAUGGAGUACAAGAACUGAGACCCACGUCAAAUGCUGUGAUUCCCAGAGCUGGUGCCCUGUGCAGGACUAGUUCCCAAGGAGAAGGGCCAGAGGGCUUUGGGCGCUCCUCCCUGCCCCCCAUUCUGACUCAUUGUGGGACCGAGCUGAGUUUAGCACUUCAUUUCCCUUGUUCGGGCCAGGGCGAUUUGAAUGCACCUGUCUCUCUGCUGUCCCUGCGGCCUGGUGAGGAUGGCCGUUGUGAGGGGUAGGGAGUACUUCCUAAUUGUGUUCCUGUGGUCUAGGUCCCACGUGAAGCCUGUUGGCGGUCACACUCAAAUGAGGUGGGGGCAGCCUGACCACUCAGUCACACUUGGAGGAUGGGUUGGCUAGUUCUUCUCACCCUCUGGUCUGGUUUUGAAGUUGCAAAUUUCUUAAGUUGCUCUUAAGAAAGGUGUGGGCCAGGGCUGGCGGUGGUGAAGUGGAACUUCAUCUUCAGAGAGCUGUCAGGUCUCAGCCACCGUGCUCCGUAUAUUCCUCCUGUGCAUUCUAUUAGCUCCUGAGCUCCCAACCUUCUCCUUUCCACAAAAUUAGACACAUCUGAAAUACAGAGCAAAUAGUCUCACAGGGGAAAAAACAAAAAAGAUGAAGCAGUGGAGGAGAGGGGACACAAUAAAAACUACAAAAUAUUUCCAUGCACAUGGAAGGGUCAGUGUCCUUCCACACAAAGUGAGUUUGUCUGGAAACUCCUGCUACAUGGAUCGAAGGUUCACCUUGUUUAUCUGCAAGGGCACAAGAGCUUGGCUUAUCCAUCCAGGGCAUUGCUCCCACCAACCGCACCUGCAACAGUGGUGAAGAAACCAUAGAACUCUGAAAUGUAUUAUUAUUAUCACACUAUCCUCAGGAACUGGGAGAUACUAGGGUCAAUAUUCUAUACAGCAAUUAGAGGUGCUGACCUGUUUGAAUUCUCUUGGUCUCCAGGGCAGAGGAUGUUGGUGGUGAUGAUGAUAAUGCUAUCAAUAACUUUCUGUCAUACUGAGUCAUACUGCUACAAAGCACUUUCACAUUUAUUGGCUCAUUUUAUCUCAAAAGCGCACUGGAGACCCCAUUCACCUUCAGAGUGUCCCCAAAAGAUAAGCCACCAUGGCUAGUAAGUGGACUUCAAUAUAGACUCAUGAUUUAGAGCGGAAUAUACUGGAACUUUUGGGAUUUGCAUUGUGGUAUUGCCCUUACCAGCUGGGUGACCUUAGACAAACCACUUCACCCCGCUGAGCCUUGGCUUCUUCAUAUGUAAAAAUGUGUUAAUAAUAACUGUCUCAGAGGGCUAUUGUAGGGGUUUAAAUGAUUUCAUGUAAAUAAAAAGGCCAUUAUAAACUCUAAAACAUUAUGCAAAUAUUAAUUGCCAUCUAUACAAGAAUGGGCUAUUUGCAAAAAUGAAUGUAAAUAUAGUUUGAGAUGGCAGGUGUGACGUGCCUGAAAGAGCGCUUCACUUGGGAUCUGAAGAUGUGUUUUCUAUUUUGGCCCCUACAUGUCAGGUGGCAGUGAGGAGUGUGGCUUUCAGACAGGCAAACACCACCAUGCAAAAAAAAAAAAAAAAAAAAAAAAAAAAAAACGGCAGCCACCAUCCACCUGUCACCUUGUCACCUGUGGUAGACUGAAUGAUGGUCCCAAAGAUGCUCAUGUCCUAAUUCCUGGAACCUGGGACUAUGUUCUCCUACAUGUUAAAGGGACGUUGCAGAUGUGAUUAAGUUAGGGGUCAUGAAGUGUAGCGAUUAUCCCAUGUCAUUCAGAUGAGUCCAUUGGAAGGUGUAGGAGGAGAGUUGUGUGACAAUGGAAACAGAGAUUAUGUGCAUUGGAGAUGGAGGAAGGGGCCAUAAGUCAAAGAAUACGAGAAUCUCUGGAAGCUGAAAAAGGCAAGGAAAUGCAUUCUCCUCUACAGCCUCCAGAAGGAACUCUCUCUGCUUGGCAGGUGACUUGAAAUCCCAGAGAAAUUAAUUUUGGACGUUUGGUUUCUGAAACUGUAAAAGGAUAAGUUUGUGUCAUUGCAAGCCACCAAGUUUGUGCUGGCUUUGUUACAAUGGCAAUAGGCAACUGGUGUAUACCACCUCAAAAUAAUCCGGCUCUUAUUUUCUUUCUCCCAACCUGAAUUCAACUUCUGAAUAGGCCAGUGAGCAUUCCCAAGUUUUCUUCUACUUUUUUGGUGGGCCAGUCUGGAGCUGACCUUUCUAGUUCUGCACAGCUUAUGCAUCACUGGGAUUGAUAACUGAUAAACUAACUCAUUGGUUCUGCACCCUAGAUUGGCUGGAGCUCAUCCUGGGGUUCUCAGGCUCAGGAAAUGCAGUCUUCGUGGCUUUGAGCAAGUCAGUUAAACUCACGGGCUCUCUAUUUUUUCAUCUGUCAUUUGGGGAUAAAAUUUCUUUCUAUGUCUACCUCACAGGGUGAAGAUUUAAGAGAAAUGAUAUCAAUGAAAGCUCUCUGCCACUUAUAAAAUGCUCUACAGGUGUGGACCCUGUUAUCAUCAUCAUUAGUAGUAUUUUAUUUUAUUUUUAAAAGAAUAAAAACUUUAUUAAAUGAAAUGAGUUAUAAUUAAGAGUUUCUGGUUUUUUCUUUCUUUAACUUUUAUUUUAGGUUUGGGGGUACAUGUGAAGGUUUGCUACAUGCCAUGGGGGUUUAUUGUAAAUAUUAUUUCAUCACCCUGUACCCAAUACUUUUCUUCUCCUCUUUCUCCUCCCACCCUCCCCUAGUAUUAUUUUAAAAACGUACAAUUUUCCAGCUUAAUCUCUUUCAAACUUAACAUAUAUGUUGUGGCAAUUGACAGACACUCUGAUUCUAGACAAGGUUAAAAAAAUCCUAAGGAGAAUAUCCAGUUGAGCAUUGGCUUCUAAAUAUCUGGAUUCUUCAUAAGCUUAAACUUCCAAUAUGGACCCCAAAAUAUAAAAAGCAGAUGCUGUGAGGCCAUUAAAUAAUUGUUCAGUAAUAUCAUCCAUUUGGAGAUGGUGAGGCUGGGCACAUUUCACUUGCCUUUCUCUUCUUGGAACUAAAAAUGGAAUGACACAUGCUAAUCAGAAACACGGUCAUCUGAAAACAGGGGCCUUAAAAAUAUCUUUCGGCCACAAGAUUGCCAAGAGCAGAGGAGCUGUGCAUUACUGCAAAGCCCUGCUUGCUGCAUCUUGCCAGUGAAUAAUGAAGACUCCCACUAGUGACAGGUUCUUUCUCAAACACUCAAACCACAAUUUACCUAAAGCUCUCCCUGGACCCUCAGAAUUGUUUAUUUGCG